UACUAUGCUUUCUAGCUCCUAAGGCCACGCUAAGCCUUGUGGCUUUUGUCAAGGCAGUUUGCUUCAGAGCAGAGCCCAUUUGGAACUCCCAAUCUACCAAGAGCUGGCAAAGGCAGUCCCAAGGUAGGGAGAUCAAGGCUGCCCAAGGCCACCCUAGAGGAAAGGAGCAGCCGCUGCUUCCCACGGUCCUGCCUUCCAUCCACCUUAAAGCUGAGCCCCACCAGGCAGGCCGCUUGGGAGAUCUACCCAGAGAUAGAGCUCAUCACGUUUAAAGGAAAAGGCACAUAUAAACCGGGAAACUUGGACUAGAAAUGGUUCUGAUCCAAAAGAGAGGUCUGCUCUAAGCAUCCUGGUGCAGGAAGGGCCAGAGCGGGCAUGGUGACACAGAGAAGGGAAAUGUAUGGCGGGGGUGGUAGGCAGGUCAGGGAAUUUUAUCAGCCUUUUAUCAGGCUGUCAGCAUCCAUUCCCGUUAAAUGUGAGAUCUUCCGCAGAUGCCUGCCGAAUGGCAAAAGGCCGUGGCUGUCUUGAAGAGAUGUGCUCUACACAAACGUAAGGGACCCAAGCCACUUACCGACCCACACGGCCACAGCAGGAGGGCAAAGGAGCAUGGGUGCCCAUGCCCAUGCCCAUGCUGGGUGCCCAAGGAGGGAGCUCAAACGCGGAGGAGCAAGACCCAGGCAUUCAGCAUCACAUCCAGCCGCCCACUCCUUCCCACUGAGGGCCUAGGCCAG
rnacentral:lncRNA from 1 species